UUGGGGACACUCAGCAAGACAAACACAUGGAGGCCCGACUGGGUGGCACUGUCUCUCACCGGCUAUCUGGCCCAUAACAAUGCACUGCAGUAUGUGAGUCCUGAAACAACAUCAAGUCAGGAUGACGCAGGUGUACACUGUCCCCUUUGAGAGGAACUCUGAACGAGUCAAGCAACUCAGGAAUCAUUAUGUCUAGAGUCAUGGAGAUUGAAGCCAGGCAAACACCCCACAUAUUCAUCUUUGUGGAUGAGUCUGGUUUCAACGAGGAAGGAAUGUGACUGGGAAAAGAGCCACAGUGGAUGUCCCGGGCCAGAGGGGUGCCAACAUCACAAUGUGUGCAGCAAUAUCCUCUGAUGGAUUGCUGUUACACAAACCGCUAAUUGGGCCAUACAACACCGAGCGUCUCCUUUCAUUCCUGGAUGACCUCUAUGGAAGGGUUGGGUCAGGUGAGGAAAGGGUUGCAGCGAGGCGAAAUCGGUCAACGUUUGCAAUUGUAUGGGACAAUGUAGCAUUUCACCACUCCCGUGCAGUCACAGGGGCUUUGCAGCCCAUCCCAGGAUGGUGUCACUUUUCCUCCCACCUUACUCUCUAUUCCUCAACCCCAUAGAGGAAUCAUUUUCCUCAUGGUGGUGGAAGGUUUAUGACCACCAUCCACAUGAUCAAAUGUCCCUCCUAGACGCAAUGAAUGCUGGAUACCUGGACAUAUCUGCAGAAGAUUGCCAGGGAUGGAUCGGGCAUGCCAAAAGAUUAUUUCCUAGGUGUAUUGCCCAAGAUGACAUAAGAUGUGAUGUGGAUGAGAACCUGUGGCCAAAUGCAGAACACAGGAUUUACUGGCAUUGCUACUGUAUCUGUAUCGGCAGACGAUGUAUAAACAAAUGAAUGUAUUUUCACUCAAUGCCAAAGAACGACAUAAAACAUAUUGAAGCAUAUUGCAUCAUGUCUGAUGUAUUCCUGUAACAUAUACUGCAGUGAAUUAUAAACACUAGAUAGGUGUCAAUCUUGUUUUGUAAAGAAAUUUGACAAAAGGAAGCAUUGUGUAAUGCUACCUGUUGUUAAGUGUUUUUUAGGUCAUUGUUUUAUGAGUGACAAAGUGUGCUUGUUGGGUGACAACCUUUGCUAGUGUUAUGGAAGAAUGAGUUGAUUUGAGACAUGUAUGAAGAGUUUUGGUAGUUUUAGUGCAUUUUGGAGGUGAAAUGAACUGCUGUGCCAAGCUGAAAGUUGGUUAGGAGAACUGUGUGAAGAGUUUUGAAAAAGGGACCUAAGUAUUGAGAAAUGGGUCCUAGCGAUUGUAAAAAACUGUAAUACACACGGGAGGCUUGCAAGACUGGGCUCUCAGAUUCAUACAGAUACACACUGUACAGAGGCCUCAGUGUCCUUGAGUUGGAGCCAUAGUGGCUUUCAUUAAUGACCAGAGAGAGACUUUCUGCUGGCUCUCCCACUCACUAGCUUGCCUUGACUCCCUGACUCCCUAACCCAGCCAUCCAUUCUGUCUAAUGAGUACUAUACCCAGGCUUUACCUGGGAGGACAUUACCCAGGCUUUAUCUAGGAGGACAUUACCCAGGCUUUAUCUGGGAGGACAUUACCCAGGAUUUAUCUGGGAGGACAUUACCCAGGCUUUGUCUGGGAGGACAUUACCCAGGCUUUAUCUGGGAGGACAUUACCCAGGCUUUAUCUGGGAGGACAUUACCUAGGAUUUACCUGGGAGGACAUUAUCCAGGCUUUAUCUGGGAGGACAUUACCCAGGAUUUACCUGGGAGGACAUUAUCCAG
ensembl:lncRNA